rnacentral:rRNA from 1 species
UACGUAGGGGGCUAGCGUUGUCCGGAAUCAUUGGGCGUAAAGCGCGCGUAGGCGGCCCGGUAAGUCCGCUCUGAAAGUCCAGGGCUCAACCCUGGAAAGCGGGUGGAUACUGCCGGGCUAGAAUCCGGAAGAGGCGAGUGGAAUUCCUGGUGUAGCGGUGAAAUGCGUAGAUAUCGAGAGGAACACCUGCGGCGAAGGCGGGUUGCUGGGCUGACACUGACGCUGAUGCGCGAAAGCUAGGGGAGCGAACGGG